rnacentral:lncRNA from 1 species
GAAAGAAGAAUAUUCUUUAUUUCUGUUGUAGAUUCCAAAUGUUAACCUACUGAAUUUUGAAAAACACACUUUUAUAUAUAGUAAAAUAUGACAAAAAUAUUGGGAAUUCAUAUAGGUUAAUAGAUGAGUAGAGCUAUUGUCCUUUUUGGAGCAUGGAAGCUCCAUGUUUCUAAGUCAUUUUCAAUCAAAAGGCUUCCAAAUCGAAGAUCAGGUCAGUCAGGCUUGAUUUAGGCUUCAUUUGGUUUGGUUAUAAGCAAGAACUGCCUAUUCCAGGGAUAGGUAUAAGUUCAGGUAUAAACCUAGAAUAGACCAAUUUUGCGUUUGGAUGAAAUUGCGUUGUUGUUCCAAAAAAUAAGAAAAAUAGCAUUGAAAUAUAUAAGAUGGAAUAAGAAGAAUAGUGGAUAGUUAUAAAUAAAAAAUAAUAAUAUUGCUCUUUAUAUUAUAUUAGAAUUUAAAUUUUUAAAUUUUAUAUUUAAAUUUUUAAAUUUAAAUACGUAACUUUGAAAUUUCAAAUUUUCAAAAUAUAUUAAUUUUUAAAUCUCAAAUUAAAAAAUUUAAAGUUUUAAAUUUUAAAUUUUAGAUUUAAAUUUAAGAUUAAAUCUAAAUUUUAAAAAUCUAAAAUAUCAAAUUAUCAAAUUUUAAAUUUAAAAAACUUAAAA